CGCACUGUCCCCACUUCCCCAUCCUCAGAAUAAACUCUAGUUUCACACCCUGAUGGUAGGAGGGAGGGAGUUGAAAAUGCUGACUCCGUUGUGUGUACCCAACGAACCAACUGUCCCUGGGCUGCUGGAACUUCUGAGUUCAGCUGCACAAAGAACUAAAGCCUAUGACGGAAGAAGUGGCAAUAACGAAGAUUAGUAUAAUGAUGCUCCAUUGCUGCCCUGGCUGCUCACUAGAAUCAUCAUCUGGUACACUUGCCACUUUUGCCGCUGCUCCACAUCUCCCAGACCACGAGAUGCCAUCCCAGGACUGGACUGUCUCCUCCCUGACGCUGGAUACUGCUGCUGCUCUCCCCAAGGCGUGUCUCCCCAACAUGGACAUAGGCUUCAUCCUUCCCUCCCCAAAGCACAGAGAAGACCAGCAUGUGAGGUAA
rnacentral:lncRNA from 1 species